rnacentral:rRNA from 1 species
GGUUAAGUUAUUAAGGGCGCAUGGUGGAUGCCUUGGCACUAGGAGCCGAUGAAGGACGUGACUAACUGCGAUAAGCUUCGGGGAGUUGUAAGUAAACUGUGAUCCGGAGAUUUCCGAAUGGGGAAACCCAGCAGGAGUAAAGACCUGUUAUCACUGAGUGAAUACAUAGCUCAGUUGAAGGUAGACGUGGGGAACUGAAACAUCUAAGUACCCAUAGGAAGAGAAAGAAAAUUCGAUUCCCUGAGUAGCGGCGAGCGAAAAGGGAACAGCCCAAACCAGAGAGCUUGCUCUCUGGGGUUGUAGGACUGGACAUUUGAGUUACCAAGAAACGAAGUAGUUGAAUGAUUUGGGAAGAUCAGCCAGAGAAGGUGAUAGCCCUGUAAGCGAAACUUCGUUUCCUCAGCCCAGUAUCCUGAGUACGGCGGAACACGUGAAACUCCGUCGGAAUCCGGGAGGACCAUCUCCCAAGGCUAAAUACUCCCUAGUGACCGAUAGUGAACCAGUACCGUGAGGGAAAGGUGAAAAGCACCCCGGGAGGGGAGUGAAAUAGUUCCUGAAACCAUGUGCCUACAAGUAGUCAGAGCCCGUUAAUGGGUGAUGGCGUGCCUUUUGUAGAAUGAACCGGCGAGUUACGUUAGCGUGCGAGGUUAAGGCGCAAAGGCCGGAGCCGUAGCGAAAGCGAGUCUGAAUAGGGCGAAUGAGUACGUUGACGUAGACCCGAAACCAGGUGACCUACCCAUGUCCAGGUUGAAGGUGCGGUAAGACGCACUGGAGGACCGAACCCGUGUAUGUUGAAAAAUGCUGGGAUGAGGUGUGGGUAGAGGUGAAAUUCCAAACGAACUUGGAGAUAGCUGGUUCUCUCCGAAAUAGCUUUAGGGCUAGCCUCGGAGUUAAGGAUCGUGGAGGUAGAGCACUGUUUGGACUAGGGGCCCGUCUUGGGUUACUGAAUUCAGAUAAACUCCGAAUGCCACAGAUCUAUAUCCGGGAGUCAGACUGCGAGUGAUAAGAUCCGUAGUCGAAAGGGAAACAGCCCAGACCACCGAUUAAGGUCCCUAAAUAUGUGUUAAGUGGAAAAGGAUGUGGAAUUGCACAGACAACUAGGAUGUUGGCUUAGAAGCAGCCACCAUUUAAAGAGUGCGUAAUAGCUCACUAGUCGAGUGAUCCUGCGCCGAAAAUGUAACGGGGCUAAACACAUUACCGAAAUCGUGGAUGCAACUAUGUUGCAUGGUAGGAGAGCGUUCUAAGGGCGAUGAAGCUAGACCGUAAGGACUGGUGGAGCGCUUAGAAGUGAGAAUGCCGGUAUGAGUAGCGAAAGAUCAGUGAGAAUCUGGUCCACCGUAUGACUAAGGUUUCCUGGGGAAGGCUCGUCCUCCCAGGGUUAGUCGGGACCUAAGCCGAGGCCGAGAGGCGUAGGCGAUGGAUAACAGGUUGAGAUUCCUGUACUGGUUUGAUUUGUUUGAACGAUGGAGGGACGCAGGAGGCUAGAGAUGCGUGCUGUUGGAUAUGCACGUCCAAGCAACAAGUCUGAUGAUGAGUCAAAUGCUUAUC